UCUGGACAAGCGUCGUUGUGUUGGAUAUCUUGGGACAAGCUGACAGUGCCGAAGCAAGGGGGAAUUGGAUUUCGAGACCCUCAUUGGUUCAAUCUUGCCAUGUUAGGCAAACAGGGCUGGCGACUGCUAACAAAUCCCAACUCAUUGUGUGCUCGGGUGCUCAAGGGGAGAUAUUACCCACACACGGAUUUCCUUCAGGCCACGGUACCGACUCGAGCCUCGGCGACAUGGAAAGCGAUAGUGGCGGGCCGGAAGGCACUGGAGGCUGGCUUAAUUUUCCGGGUUGGGGAUGGCUCCACGAUUUCUAUCUGGACAUACCCGUGGAUACCAAAUACAAUAUCAUAG
rnacentral:rRNA from 1 species